rnacentral:tRNA from 3 species
GCGAUCGUGGCGGAAUUGGUAGACGCGUGCGCUUGCCUAGGGGCCUAGCUAGCUGGACCUCUAACAAGCGCAUGGAGCAAUCCAUACUGGUUCGAUCCCCGUCGGUCGCACCA